rnacentral:rRNA from 1 species
AGCGAGCUUGCCUAGAUGAUUUUAGUGCUUGCACUAAAUGAAACUAGAUACAAGCGAGCGGCGGACGGGUGAGUAACACGUGGGUAACCUGCCCAAGAGACUGGGAUAACACCUGGAAACAGAUGCUAAUACCGGAUAACAACACUAGACGCAUGUCUAGAGUUUGAAAGAUGGUUCUGCUAUCACUCUUGGAUGGACCCGCGGUGCAUUAGCUAGUUGGUAAGGUAACGGCUUACCAAGGCAAUGAUGCAUAGCCGAGUUGAGAGACUGAUCGGCCACAUUGGGACUGAGACACGGCCCAAACUCCUACGGGAGGCAGCAGUAGGGAAUCUUCCACAAUGGACGAAAGUCUGAUGGAGCAACGCCGCGUGAGUGAAGAAGGGUUUCGGCUCGUAAAGCUCUGUUGGUAGUGAAGAAAGAUAGAGGUAGUAACUGGCCUUUAUUUGACGGUAAUUACUUAGAAAGUCACGGCUAACUACGUGCCAGCAGCCGCGGUAAUACGUAGGUGGCAAGCGUUGUCCGGAUUUAUUGGGCGUAAAGCGAGUGCAGGCGGUUCAAUAAGUCUGAUGUGAAAGCCUUCGGCUCAACCGGAGAAUUGCAUCAGAAACUGUUGAACUUGAGUGCAGAAGAGGAGAGUGGAACUCCAUGUGUAGCGAUGGAAUGCGUAGAUAUAUGGAAGAACACCAGUGGCGAAGGCGGCUCUCUGGUCUGCAACUGACGCUGAGGCUCGAAAGCAUGGGUAGCGA